GGACAGUCACAGUAAUUCUCAGAAAAAUCUAUCAGGCCUCAACUGUGGCCCAACAAAAGGAUAAGAUAUAAUUCAAUAAGGAUGACGCGAUAGAUGCCAGGUCACCCAGCCAAAGCCAAUCUAGAUAGUCACUGUAUCUUCUAUUUGCCCAUCUAGAUCAACCUUUUUAAUGCUCUCCAUCCCACUCUGGUACCAGGAAGCUGGCUCAUGUACACAUCUGUUAAUAUUAAUAAGUUAAUAUCCUUCUCAAAGAUACCACUUAGGGUAAUCACUCAUGCGUUCAGGUCUAGGAAUGCAACAUUCCCAGACACCGUUAAGCAUUGAGACGUUGUAUUAGCCUGAUUUUUUUCUUUAUUUAAAAAAUUUAAGACAAUUUUAAAUUUUAUUUAAAAUGUAAGGAGCUGGCUGCCCUGGAAACUGCAAUCUUUCUGCCUCAGCAUACAGAGUGCCAGAGUUAUAGGCAUAUGGUAUGCCACCAAACCCAACUUAGAGCCCUACAUGGAUAAAUUAUACAUUUUUUUCUACCCAACCCAGCAAUUAUAAAUACCUAUUUCAGGGACUCAACUCCUGCCACUGUCUUCUGAUCUCCACUGGCAGCCACUCAUGCCAAUGAAUGCAAUAAAAAAUAAAGCAAAUAUAGUCCCUUAUCUCGUUUUUUCCUUAUCUCGUUCUUAAGGCUCAGCAAGGUUUCUAUGUCUCAGAAGUAAACAGAACCCCCCAAAAGAAAAAAAAAUCACUAAGAUUCUUCAAUGAAGCAGAUUUUUUUUUUUUUUGAGGCAAAUAGUAAGAUUCUACUGAAUCUGCAGGUAACUUAAGUUUCUGAGGGUUAAUUUGAAAAAAGUGUAUGCAAAAACAUCGUGCUAAUUAGUUCUGGUCACGUGGGGAGAGGGAACAAGAAUGUCUGUGGGUAUUUUCUUGAUUAAUGACCCACGUGGGUGGGCCCAACCCACAGAGGGCAGUGUAAGGCCUGGGCUAGUUAAGAAAGCCGGCUGAGUAAGCCGGUUUGCGGAUUCCUCCAUGGUCUCCUUCAGUUCCUGGUCAGGUUCCUAACGGCAGUCAAAUACAUCCUGCCUGGAGUUGAUUUGGUCAGUGCAGCAACAGAAAGCAAACUAGAUAGAGCCUGUUGCCAAAUCCCAUGCCUAUCAAGGACUGUGCCCUGAGAACAAAGUAAUGGGACGACACUGCCCCUGCAACAAGAAAAAAGUUUUAAAGAAAAAAAAAAAAAAACGAUCAAGCUCGGUGUGGGGGGGUCCAUGACAGUAGCCAGCUCAAUGAGGAGCUGAGGUAAUAAGAGGCGUUUGAGGCCAGCUCAGAUGACGAGAGCCCAUCAGAGAAACAAAGACAAGUUCUGGCUGUUUAGACCCAGAUCGUAUGUGAACACAAGUAUCUAAGAAGUCCUCUGCCUGGGGCCGGAGAGUUUGUGUGGUGGGUAGGAGAGCUGUCUUGCAGAGGAUCAGGGCUCAGUUAUCAGGCUCGCCACGGCCUGACUCCAGCUCCUGGGUCUUCCACACCCUCUUCUGGCCUCUCUGGGAAACUGCACUCAGGAGCACAUACUUUGCAGAGACAUACAUGCACAGCGAUU
rnacentral:lncRNA from 1 species